rnacentral:misc_RNA from 1 species
AAAAGACUACUCUAACUUAUAUAUAUAUAUAAAAGUGCCCCAUCCCCUACUUUGCAACAGGUUGAAUUUCAUCUAGCCAUAUUGAAUCUGAAUACAGUGGUCAACAAGUCCUUAAAACUUCUGCCAAAUAUCUCCACUGCCACCACAAACUCAAGCAAAAUUCCAUUUAGCUUAGACUCCGGUUGUUUCGCAGAAAAUAACUUGUACAUGAAAAGUGUUUUUCAUGAAAAUUGUUUUCUAAAAAAUAUUUUUCAUUAUUUGAUUGCAAUAU